rnacentral:lncRNA from 1 species
AACUCUUCCUCGAUGGAAACCAGCUGGAAGGAACCAUCCCGCGAUUUAUAGGAACUUUCAGCAAGCUUCUCGCUCUGGUCCUGAACAACAACAAGUUCACAGGCAGUAUUCCCGGUGAUCUUGGAGGCUUACAUUCACUCAGACGGAUCGACCUGAGUAGCAACAGACUGUCGGGUACAAUACCGGCUCGGCUCGAGAACUUGAGAAUGCUGGAAGACUUGGAUCUGUCUGCAAACAAUCUGGAAGGCAACAUUCCCUCCCAGCUUGAACGGCUAACAAGUUUGGAGCACCUCAACGUGUCAUAUAAUAACCACUUACUAGCACCAAUCCCGUCGGCCUCGAGCAAAUUCAACAGUUCUUCCUUCCUGGGCCUCAUAAAUCGUAACACCACCGAGCUCGCCUGCGCAAUAAACUGUAAACAUAAGAACCAGCUUUCUACAACCGGUAAAACAGCCAUAGCAUGCGGGGUAGUAUUUAUAUGCGUUGCUCUAGCAAGCAUCGUUGCAUGCUGGAUCUGGAGACGUAGAAAAAAAAGGCGAGGAACCGACGACAGAGGCAGGACUCUCUUGCUGGAAAAGAUCAUGCAAGUGACAAACGGAUUGAAUCAAGAGUUCAUCAUAGGACAGGGUGGCUACGGAACUGUUUACCGAGCAGAAAUGGAGUCGGGAAAAGUUCUUGCUAUCAAGAAGCUCACUAUCGCAGCCGAGGACAGCUUGAUGCAUGAGUGGGAAACCGCUGGUAAAGUCAGGCACCGAAACAUCCUCAAAGUUUUAGGCCACUACAGACACGGAGGAUCAGCACUUCUCGUUUCCAACUUCAUGACAAACGGAAGCCUGGGGAGCCUGCUACACGGCCGCUGCUCAAACGAGAAGAUCCCGUGGCAACUUCGUUACGAGAUUGCACUCGGCAUUGCUCACGGCCUCUCAUACUUGCACCACGACUGCGUGCCAAAGAUAAUUCACAGGGACAUAAAAGCCAACAACAUUCUCUUGGACAAAGACAUGGUUCCAAAGAUUGCGGACUUUGGCUUGGCCAAGCUCAUCGAGAAAGAAGCGGAGACAAAGUCCAUGUCCUACAUCGCAGGCUCGUAUGGAUACAUUGCUCCAGGUAGAAAACAAAGAGAAACGAAGAAAGAAGCUCUCAACUCACAUUUCUCUCUCUCUCUCUGUCUGCAGAGUAUGCUUUCACGCUCAAAGUGAACGAGAAAAGCGACAUAUACAGCUUUGGAGUGAUACUUCUCGAGCUGCUGCUACGAAAGACACCGCUCGAUCCACUCUUCUCAGAGACCGAUGGAAACAUGACGGUGUGGGUAAGAAACGAGACGAGAGGAUCAUCCACAGGCUUGGAAAGCGUGGCAGAUCCAGAGAUGUGGAGGGAAGCCUCCCGGAUCGAGAAAAAGGAGAUGGAGAGGGUUUUCCGGAUUGCGCUGCUGUGCACAGAGGGCAAUCCAGCGGACAGACCCACAAUGCAGCAAAUUGUGGAAAUGCUGAGGACGACGCCAAUCCAUACCUGAGAAGCGCUCCUCCUCCGAGCUUAGAACCCUAACAAAAAGAACCCUAUGGAAUUGGCG